rnacentral:lncRNA from 1 species
AACUGUUUGCACCCCGAAGCCUGAAAGAGUGAAGUAGGGUGGGAUUACCUGGAAAGAGAGAGAGAGACAGAAGGAGAAUGAGAUUGAGGGAAGGGCUGCCUGGCAGGGGAAGCUGACGCCUUCAGGCAAGUGAAGAAGCCAGCCCGCAGCAACUCUGCAGGGAAGAAUAUAGGGAAAUAAACGCCUUCAUCUCUCUCUUGUCCCACCCGCAGAGCUCCUUCUGGGAUUCUCUAUUGGCUGAACUCAGCCAGAAGCUGCCAAGGGAGACCCCCACAACUGGAUGCAGCCCACUGAAGUCAGCUUCCUGGGGUGCGUAGCUGAAGGUAGCAGGGAGCAAAAAGAAUCUGAAGGGGAAGUGAACAAUGUAGAGCGUAUCUGUGCUGAAGACGUAAGGAGAGAGUGGAGGUCAGAAGCUGGCAUGGUCCCUGGUGCAUGUAUCAGCCGCUAAAGAAGUGGAGAGUAUGAACAUAAGCAAGAGGAAGUGAUGAGUAUCCCUUCCAGGAGAACUCUAAGAGGCAGUGAGUGAUUUGCUGGGCUCCCAAGCCCUCUGCUCUGAUGACAGCAAAGCCCCAAAUCAUGGUGCCUCCAUCAGUCGGGACCCCUCAGCAGAGCCAGCUUCACAGCUGGAGUGGAUGAAUCAGAACUUUCCCCAUGGGAGCAUUUAUAAAAAGGGGACACCCAGCGCAGAAGAUGUUUUCCAGGGAGAUCUCGGGGAGCCCAACAAGCCAAGAAGAGCAGAGCAAAGCAUUCCAAGGAAGGACUCUAAGUCUGCAACCGAGCACACACGAGCACAAGGAAAGACCAUGUGAAUACACAGCAAGAACGUGGUGCUCUGCAAGUCAGAAACAGACCCGUCAUCAGACACCAAAUCAGCCAGCACCUUGAUCUAGGAUUUCUGGCCUCCAAAACAGAUGGGAAUAGGGACAUCUGCUGCAUUUGGCUGUUGGAGAAACACAAGGAAAUCAUGGACAAGUGCCAGGUGUGGUGACACUCGUCUGUAGUCCUAGCAGCUCAGGAGGCUGAGACGGGAGGAUCCCUUGAGUGCAGGAGUUUGAGGCUGCAGUGAGCUAUAAUGGUACUACUAUACUCCAGCCUGCACAAUGCAACAAAACCACAUCUGUAAUCAUCAUCAUCAUGAUCAGAGCAAACCCUACUCAGUGGCUCACCCCAGCGUGUGAUCCUAUGUGUUAAUUCCCUCCUAUACAUGAGGGCUGCACAAGCUCAGAUGGGCUUAUUCUACUGAAAAUUCAGAUAAACAUGGAGAAAAGGUGGGAGGGCAGGUGGGCUGGAGAGGUGCAGUAGGGCAGUCCGGAAGAAGAGGAGCAGCACGUGGUGGAAAAAACUGAGAUGGGCCCUAAGUCUCAGCAGGGCCAGGUCACUGGCUUGUGACCCCUGCAGUCUCUCAGAACCCUGAAGGCCUGGAGCUCUGUUUAAUGCUCUGUCACCUAUGGUCAUGAAAUUCUUAUUAUGGGAUAAGAUCCCUUGUCCAAACAAGGGUCUCUGCAUUGUCAUUUUGCACUGGGUCCUGCAAGUUAUUUGCUAAUCCUGAGUCUCAGCCUAUGUAGCCCUUCUAUGACUGCAUUUCGGCUUCUGCAUCUGCAAAACAGCUACAUUAGAUGGGGACCGAGGGAGGCUAAGGGUGAUGCCUGCCCACCUCUGAGAGCCUUCCUGAGCUAUUGGUAAGCACUUCCCUAUGCCCAGCGAGGUGCUUGACACUAAAUAAAUGUUAAACACCCCAGUGAGUUUUAGACUCAAUGACGCCCAAAUGCCUAGCUGUGGAAUAGUGAGGAGUUAAAUCAAAGGAAUUUGGAGCCAGGCAGACGUGGGUUCAAAUCCUAACCCUUCCACUCACUGGUCAUGGGACCUUGGGCAAAUUCCCGUACUUUUCUGCAACAGGCUGACUUCAUCGCUAAAAUGAGGAUGAUAAUAGUCUCUCCUGCCUAGGUUGUUGGAUAAGCGGGGGAGUUACGUGAAAUUAUGUGUGUUAAGUACCAUGCCGGGCAUUUAAACAGUAACUGCUAACAUUCGUUUAUUUACCAUCUGAACACCUACUUUGUGCCAGGCACUGUGCAAGUCUUUGAGGAUACAGUGGUAAACAAGACAGUCGCAGCCCUGACGUGGAGGUGGAAUGUAAACAAAAAAGCAGGCAAGGGUGGCAGGUGCCUUCAGAUGGUGGCACACACACUCUAAGCAUCUUAGUAGAACAAGGGCAAAGAGUGGGGCUAGGCUGCGGGGCGUGUGACAGUCCCUUCCCAUUCAGAAAUUAAACUCUCUGUGAGCUACAGCCAAAGAUUUCAAUCCCACUCUCCAAUGCAUCUCUGUUGUAGAAGAGAAUUAUUUUCCAGAAAUUCCCAGAAGAUUCCCCCACCUCUAUGUCUGGAGAUGGUGCUAGGUUUCUCCCAUCUCCAGGAAGGCAAAUGACCUCUCCCCCAGAACCCCAAACAAAUUCCCCUCACCAGGAGCCCUCAGACCCCACCCUGGAGCUUGUGAGCGCUAAGAACGAGCAGAAAGGGAAAUGAACAAAUUAUCUUGAUAAUUUGUUUAAGAAGGGGAAAAAAAGUCACCCAAGAAAAAUGAUAUCCAAUAAGACGGUGGGUUUCUAAUGAAUGUGCGGGUAAUGAAAUAAACCCGUUUAGGCCACGCUUGGCCCUGAUCUUCCCAGGCCUAGAUUAAAAAAUGGAACAUCUGUGAUGAUUUAAUUUACAUCUUAAUAACAAACAGGCCUCGAGAAACCCGCGGAUAAAUGCCUUUUAUUGCCGGCGUAUCUUUUGCAGUGCAGCUUGAAUGAAAACUCUGGUAAUUAAUUGUUUUAAG